rnacentral:lncRNA from 1 species
GGGGGGCGGGGGGAGCCGCGCUGACGUCACUGCGGGCCGUGCCCGCCCGAGAAGGCGGCGCUGGGAGCCGCUCAGAGCCCCGAGAAGCAGCGCGCGGCCGGGAGCCCCCGCGCCUCCGCCGCCGCGCCUGCCUCCCGCAGCUCUCGGCCAUGCGCCGCCGGGGCAGGGGCGCCUGCAGAGCGGCUGGAGCUGGGCCUGAGCCUGGGACGUGCCGAAUCCAGGGCGGCAGAGCCGCUGUCCUUGCAGCCGCCCCACCCCCGCCGCUGCCUCGUGGGGCCCGGGCCCCUUUCCCGGUCUGGGAUGGCUGGCAGGGCCCAGGGCUGGAGGGUGGCUGCAGCAGCAGGAAGGAAACAGGUGAGGAGGUGAGGGCUGGGGUGGGCAGAGAUGCCUGUAAGGCCCGACUUGGAAGGCUUCUGUCGGACCACUGGCUCUGCUGCCAGGCUCAGUUCACAGGUGCCUGGGGGGAUCCAAGUUGUCUGUCCUUUCCCCCUGGUGUGGCCAUCAGGAGUGAGUGGGCCAGGUGUGUGCUGAGAGCCAGAAAAAGAUGGCAGAGACAUGGGUUUGCGCUUUUUUUUUUUUUUAAUAGAAUAUAAAUUUAAUCAGGUACCGAGUUUUGGCCUAGAACACUCUAAGGCACCAGGCAGGCCGAUUGAUUACCCUUAGCCAGGCUUAGCAACAGCCGGGGGAGGGGGACAGCCCCCUGGUCCUAAGGUCCAUGGCCACGGCCUGGCCUCAACGUGCAUGGCUCAGUAACCUCUGCACACCAUGUGGCCACGGAUCCGUACUCACCAGAACGCUUAAUCUCCUCGCCUCUCCCCAGCCUCGGCUGCUUGGGCUGGAUCUACUACUAGGUGCUGGGCGUGGGGAGAGGAAGAGAAGUUACGGGUUUCUGCUCUGGGUUCCCGGCCUCCCGAGCGUGCAUUUGGACGCCCUGGAGAGACCCUCACCACUCCCCGGGCCAUGCGUCCCCAGACCUCGUCUCCAGGGCGUAAUUUGGCUGCCUAACUGAUGGUCCGCGAGCUCUCUGAGCUGAGAAAAAGAAGAGUUUCGGAGAAAGGCCCGACUGCACGCACCCAGGCGAGCAGCCCUAUUGCUUGCAAGCGCAGAGCUGGCACUCCCCUGCCCUCGGGGCGGAGAAGCCGUGAACGCCGAGGCCAUUGUAAAGCAGGGUGGUGCGGAGCGCGGGAAGGGGGCUGGGAUUUGAAUGGGAGCCGGUGAUUGGCCGCGGCCCGGAAUGACGUCACUUCCCCGCGGGGCGAUUAGCCUGCCAGAGAGGGCUGGCGGUCCAGUGCGCUGGGGGCAGCCGGGGCGCCUGAGGCUGCCGGAGCGCAGCGCGCGGGUGCCCUCAG